UGGGAUAUAGCUCAGCAGCACAGCAGCUGCCUGGAAAGCACAAGGUUGUGAGUUUGAUACCCGUUAUCCAAA
rnacentral:tRNA from 1 species